rnacentral:rRNA from 1 species
GGGUUGUGAGGUUAAGCGACUAAGCGUACACGGUGGAUGCCCUGGCAGUCAGAGGCGAUGAAGGGCGUGCUAAUCUGCGAUAAGCGCCGGUAAGGUGAUAUGAACCGUUAUAACCGGCGAUACCCGAAUGGGGAAACCCAGUGUGACUCGUCACACUAUCAUUAACUGAAUCCAUAGGUUAAUGAGGCGAACCGGGGGAACUGAAACAUCUAAGUACCCCGAGGAAAAGAAAUCAACCGAGAUUCCCCCAGUAGCGGCGAGCGAACGGGGAGGAGCCCAGAGCCUGAAUCAGCAUGUGUGUUAGUGGAAGCGUCUGGAAAGACGCGCGAUACAGGGUGACAGCCCCGUACACAAAAGCGCAUGUGUUGUGAGCUCGAUGAGUAGGGCGGGACACGUGGUAUCCUGUCUGAAUAUGGGGGGACCAUCCUCCAAGGCUAAAUACUCCUGACUGACCGAUAGUGAACCAGUACCGUGAGGGAAAGGCGAAAAGAACCCCGGCGAGGGGAGUGAAAAAGAACCUGAAACCGUGUACGUACAAGCAGUGGGAGCACAGGUUUACCUGUGUGACUGCGUACCUUUUGUAUAAUGGGUCAGCGACUUAUAUUCUGUAGCAAGGUUAACCGAAUAGGGGAGCCGGAGGGAAACCGAGUCUUAAUUGGGCGUUAAGUUGCAGGGUAUAGACCCGAAACCCGGUGAUCUAGCCAUGGGCAGGUUGAAGGUUGGGUAACACUAACUGGAGGACCGAACCGACUAAUGUUGAAAAAUUAGCGGAUGACCUGUGGCUGGGGGUGAAAGGCCAAUCAAACCGGGAGAUAGCUGGUUCUCCCCGAAAGCUAUUUAGGUAGCGCCUCGUGAACUCAUCUCCGGGGGUAGAGCACUGUUUCGGCUAGGGGGCCAUCCCGGCUUACCAACCCGAUGCAAACUGCGAAUACCGGAGAAUGUUAUCACGGGAGACACACGGCGGGUGCUAACGUCCGUCGUGAAGAGGGAAACAACCCAGACCGCCAGCUAAGGUCCCAAAGUCAUGGUUAAGUGGGAAACGAUGUGGGAAGGCCCAGACAGCCAGGAUGUUGGCUUAGAAGCAGCCAUCAUUUAAAGAAAGCGUAAUAGCUCACUGGUCGAGUCGGCCUGCGCGGAAGAUGUAACGGGGCUAAAUCAUGCACCGAAGCUGCGGCAGCGACACUCAGGUGUUGUUGGGUAGGGGAGCGUUCUGUAAGCCUGUGAAGGUGUGUCGUGAGGCAUGCUGGAGGUAUCAGAAGUGCGAAUGCUGACA